GCUUAACACAUGCAAGUCGAACGGACAGUUAUUUAUAGCUUCGGCUAUGAGUAUCUGUUAGUGGCAGACGGGUGAGUAAUGCGUAGGAAUCUACCUAGUAGUAUGGAAUAGCUAUUAGAAAUGAUAGGUAAUACUGUAUAAUCCCUGCGGGGGAAAGAUUUAUCGCUAUUAGAUGAGCCUACGUUAGAUUAGCUAGUUGGUAAGGUAAUGGCUUACCAAGGCAAUGAUCUAUAGCUGGUCUGAGAGGACGAUCAGCCACACUGGAACUGAGAUACGGUCCAGACUCCUACGGGAGGCAGCAGUGGGGAAUAUUGGACAAUGGG
rnacentral:rRNA from 1 species